rnacentral:rRNA from 1 species
GAUGAACGCUGGCGGCGUGCCUAAUACAUGCAAGUCGAGCGAACGGACGAGAAGCUUUCUUUUCUGAUUUUAGCGUCGGACGGGUGAGUAACACGUGGAUAACCUACCUAUAAGACUGGGAUUACUUCGGGAAACCGGAGCUUAUACCGGAUUAUAUUUUGAACCGCAUGGUUCAAAAGUGAAAGACGGUCUUGCUGUCACUUAUAGAUGGAUCCGCGCUGCAUUAGCUAGUUGGUAAGGUAACGGCUUACCAAGGCAACGAUGCAUAGCCGACCUGAGAGGAUGAUCGGCCACACUGGAACUGAGACACGGUCCAGACUCCUACGGGAGGCAGCAGUAGGGAAUCUUCCGCAAUGGGCGAAAGCCUGACGGAGCAACGCCGCGUGAGUGAUGAAGGUCUUCGGAUCGUAAAACUCUGUUAGUAGGGAAGAACAUAUGAGUAAGUAACUGUGCACAUCUUGACGGUACCUGAACAGAAAGCCACGGCUAACUACGUG